rnacentral:rRNA from 1 species
GGGUUAAGUCCCGCAACGAGCGCAACCCCUGUGAACUGUUGCCACCGAGCCGUGAGGCUCGAGCACUCUGUUCAGACUGCCCCGCUCUAACGGGGAGGAAGGUGGGGACGACGUCAAGUCAGUAUGGCCCUUACGGCCUGGGCUGCACACGUACUACAAUGCCCAGCACAGAACGAUCCAAGACCGCAAGGUGGAGGAAAUCUCUAAAACUGGGCCCAGUUCAGAUUGAAGUCUGCAACUCGACUUCAUGAAGCCGGAAUCGCUAGUAAUGGCGUAUCAGCUACGACGCCGUGAAUACGUUCCCGGGCCUUGUACACACCGCCCGUCACAUCAUGGGAGUCGCUUGUAGCCGAAGUCGGCGUGCUAACUAGCAAUAGAGGCAGCCGCCUACGCUAUGAGCGGUAACUGGGAUGAAGUCGUAACAAGGUAA